rnacentral:pre_miRNA from 1 species
CCUUAUCAUUCUUUCGCCCCGUGUGUGCAUUGUCGACUGGACGGAGAACUGAUAAGGGC